rnacentral:rRNA from 1 species
UGGGGAAUAUUGCACAAUGGGCGCAAGCCUGAUGCAGCCAUGCCGCGUGUAUGAAGAAGGCCUUCGGGUUGUAAAGUACUUUCAGCGAGGAGGAAGGCGUUGUGGUUAAUAACCGCAGCGAUUGACGUUACUCGCAGAAGAAGCACCGGCUAACUCCGUGCCAGCAGCCGCGGUAAUACGGAGGGGGCAAGCGUUAAUCGGCAUUACUGGGCGUAAAGCGCACGCAGGCGGUCUGUCAAGUCGGAUGUGAAAUCCCCGGGCUCAACCUGGGAACUGCAUCCGAAACUGGCAGGCUAGAGUCUUGUAGAGGGGGGUAGAAUUCCAGGGGUAGCGGUGAAAUGCGUAGAGAUCUGGAGGAAUACCGGUGGCGAAGGCGGCCCCCUGGACAAAGACUGACGCUCAGGUGCGAAAGCGUGGGGAGCAAACA